UACGUAGGGCGCAAGCGUUGUCCGGAAUUAUUGGGCGUAAAGAGCUCGUAGGCGGUUUGUCGCGUCUGCCGUGAAAACCCGAGGCUUAACCUCGUGGCUUGCGGUGGAUACGGGCAGACUAGAGGUAGGUAGGGGAGAAUGGAAUUCCCGGUGUAGCGGUGAAAUGCGCAGAUAUCGGGAGGAACACCAGUGGCGAAGGCGACUACCUGGCCUGUUCUUGACGCUGAGGCGCGAAAGCUAGGGGAGCAAACGGG
rnacentral:rRNA from 1 species